rnacentral:sRNA from 1 species
UAACCAACAAAACGUUCAAAAACACAUCCCAACAGAGAGCCAUGACACGACAACACCAGAAAUAUCACUAUCCUUAAAUGAGAGUAAAGAUUUAGGACAACACGGUAAGUUAUUCAAGUUCUAACCAGAAAUUAUGCAUUGAUCCAUAUCUCUUUUCCACUUUACAUUUUCACUCCUUUGUAAAGGAGUGAAAACGAAAAAUGGAAGAGUGAUAUGGAUAAUACAUAGCAUCUGGUUGGAAUUUGAAUAACCUACCGCGUCUACAUGGCUCUUUACUUUAAUAAUUGUGAGAUCUCCGGUGUUCUGGUGCCAUGGUUCUAUGUUGGCAUGUGUUUUUCUUCGUUUUGUUGGGUAUAAGUUACACUUUCACUCUCAAAUCAUUUUGUAAUUUUGUUUCCUAAUUUUCACCAAAUGUUUAACAUUUUACCAAGAGAGCGAUUAUAUCUAAGGAUUUACAACUUGCUAGAAAGACUCUAAAUGAUCGACUUUGAAAUCAUGAUAUUGUAUCUUUUCAAUUUUGGGGUUAUUAUUCUCAUUUAAAUGCAUUCCUGAGAUUAUCUUAAAGAAAUAA